AUAUGGUAAGGCAUUUUGAAUGCUGGUAUUGUUCACGGAUUUGAAUAUUUUGCGCAACAGAAAAUCAUCCUAGUAAAAUUCGAUACUUUUAACUAUCAUUAUCAAAAUUAUUUGCCACGAAGCAAGAAAAGGUAUAAAUUAUAUUUAUUUAGUGAAGAAUAAAUUUGACAGAUUGCCAUGUUUUGCUAUACAACUUUGGAAUUUGUAUCUUGGAAAUUGGUGUCCUAAAAGUAAUAAUAAUAUUUAAUAUUUGAUCUAAACUAAUCGCAAAUAAUAUUGUAACAUUUACCGCCUGGCUUUUGGUUUACAUCAUUUUUUGGGAAAACUCACAGGUCGCAAAACAUAAUAUAAUGUAAAAUAAAGCAAGGCAUUUCUAUAAAAUAUUAAUAAAGAUUGCUGCAAUCACGUUAUCAGAAUAUCGCCACUAAGUCGCUGCUGUUCUGAAUAUGCCACUUGAGAUUACCAUGUUUGCUGAUUUCACAGUUUUUUUUUUCGCAAAGGUAUGCAAGUAAUAUUAAACCAGUGAGAUUUCCACGUGGGAGAAAACGCUCAUAUUUGAAUAUUAAAUUAGAAACCUGAAAUAAAAAAAUUGACGCGUGGUGAUGAAGAGGCAGAAACCGCAACCUAUUGUCAGAUCCUGCUAAAUUCUAAUCCUCCGGAUUCGGUAUUCUGAAUUGCCCAUCCCUAACUAUGAUGGACAUAUUAUUAAGCUAACCAAUGUUAUUAAGUAUAUUCAAUCAAUUAUUAUCAUACUUAAUUGAAUGAAAAACAUUUCUUGGGAUUCUUCACGGAUCUUUGUAGCUUAUUAAUAAAUAAUAACUUCGCAGAAUGGCAAAAAUAUGCAUGAAAAAUUAAUUAUAAUCGGGCAGUUUACCACACAUAUUAUGUCCGUAGAUUGCUAUGGUAUUUAAAAGCAGUGGUUCUCAAACAGUUGGGUGUGCCCCGCUAGAGGUUAGUUGGAGUGCAGCUACUGUAUAGCCUCACUUAUGAGCCAAUCUCACGUAUAAGCCGACCUUCUAAAAACGACUUUAUUAAAAUAGUAAAUUUAUAAAAAUUUGCGUAUAAGCCGACUCUCCAAAUCGUAACAUGCUGUAAGCAACUAUUACAGUCGAUGAUGUUCAAUUCAAAUUUAAUAUUCAAAUAUUGCUAUUCGCUAUCUUCUAGUAUCGUUUUCAGUGUUUAUAUUAAUAGGGCAUAUUGCACACACAUUUUGAUUGAGAACAUUUUUCGAUAUUCGUAUUCGAAGACAGCCCCUUACGGCACGACUAAAUUACUGUCGACAUGAGAGGAUUUAAAUGAGCGCCGACUUGAAGUACUUACAACACAUCGAGGAUGUUUUUGAUUGAAAAUAUUUUACAAUUAUUUUUGUAUUUUUAACAUAGUCAAGAUAUCAUGGGUGACCACGACAAUAAAUUUAGAAGCAAAUUGUGUCGUAAUUCAUUGUUUUCAUCAAUAGUGACCGAGCAUACCGGGAAAUCUUUGCAUUUUCAGCCUAUGAAAUAGCUCUUAAAUAUUAUUUAGUAUCUAUGGCCGAUGUUAUUUGUUAGCCUGGCGCCAUUGAUGAUAAUAUCGUUCAGUUUAGGUUUGCGGUAUUAGUUUAUGAAAAGUAACUCGGCUUAUAUGCAAUUAUAUACGUACAAAGAGAGUGGGCCAUUCUAACAGAAGAUUAGCAGCCCAGAUAGACAGAAGACCAUGAUCGGAUGAUAAUAACCUCAACUCAACAUUUUAUGAACAUCUGACUUGUUCAUUACAAAAUACCUUGUGUGAUGAUAUGGCGAUGGGAAGUGAGAACGUCUUCAGUCAGACAUGAUUGUCUAUCCAGUAAUUGCAAUAUUUCUGUUUGCAAUACAUUACAGUACAGCAUUUAUUGAAUUACAGGU